AACGAACGCUGGCGGCGUGCUUAACACAUGCAAGUCGAACGCGAAAGGGACUUCGGGUCCUGAGUAAAGUGGCGCACGGGUGAGUAACGCGUAGAUAACCUGUCUUCAUGUCUGGAAUAAUACGCCGAAAGGGGUACUAAUACCGGAUAUUCUUGCUUUUCAUAAGUUAUGCAAGCAAAGGUGGCCUCUGCAUAUGCUACUGCAUGAAGAGGGGUCUGCGUACCAUUAGCUAGUAGGUGGGGUAAUGGCCUACCUAGGCGACGAUGGUUAGCGGGUCUGAGAGGAUGAUCCGCCACACUGGCACUGGAACACGGGCCAGACUCCUACGGGAGGCAGCAGUGAGGAAUAUUGCGCAAUGGGGGAAACCCUGACGCAGCGACGCCGCGUGAGUGAGGAAAAGGGCCUUCGGGUCGUAAAGCUCUGUCAAGAGGAAAGAAGUGUACAAUGGCUAAUACCUGUUGUAUUUGACGGUACCUCUAAAGGAAGCACCGGCUAACUCCGUGCCAGCAGCAGC
rnacentral:rRNA from 1 species